ensembl:lncRNA
UCAUUUGAGGAAAGAAUAGAGCGAGUGGAUGUUGGCCGGAAACCAUGAAUUUACUCCAUUGGGAAAAAGAAAGAAACCAUCAGUCACUGUAUUAGGGAACUGGAUCAAAACUGCAUGGGACAAUAUCUCCACCGAGUCCACUGUGCUUGGAUUGAAAAAAUGUUGUACAUCAAACAGUAUGGCUGGUAGCGAAGAUGGUGUUUGGUGGGAAGAAGAGGUUGAUGUCGGUGACUUGAGUGAUGUUUCUGCUUUGGGAGAUGAGGAAAUAGAAGAGGAAGGAGAACAUGAUUCAAUACUGGAAGUGUCACUCGAAGCAGCAGCACAACCCAAGGCUCUUCUAUACCUAGGAUUUGGGGACAAGGAUAUCAUCAGUGCUGCAGACUGCCUACAUUAUGGUGACUGUGAUGCUCACGACAUCUGGGAUAUUGCUGAUCAGGGAAGAGAAUGGAAAACCAUCUCCGGCGUCAGAAUGAGCGAGAUGAACGGCCAUCCAGAUUCAUGCAACUGUCAGGAAUCCAAAGCUAAACUCAAGCCAAUUUGUCUGGAAUUCAAGGACUGGCUGCCAUCAACCUAGCUAAGGAUGGCUGCCUCAGCCCUAGGACUCCUUGGAAACUAGCAAAAGACUGACAUUUACUUUAGGAAAAUCACUUUGGAUGACUUUGUGGAGAAGAGGUUGAAUGGAGGAAGCUAAAACCAUUGAGAAGAAUUAGAAAACUAUUGCAACAGUUCAGAUUAGAGGGAAUGGGAGCCCGCGUUAGAGUGGUGACUGUGUAUGUGGAGAGGAGGGGAGAAAGGAAGAGAGAAGCAAAAGAGAGACAUUCUAGAAAGAGAAUCAGCCAAAGCUGAAAAAUGACUGGAUAGGUGGGAAGGAGAAAAGAAGAGAAAAAGAAGAGAUCCCAACCAAAAAACUAAUUGAGCAAAAAUGUUGCUUCUUAUUUCCCAACCAUUAUACCCUGGAAACCCAGCAAGGCUCUCCUCAGGCUCAUUGAUUUCUAGAACCCAGCUCCUCCCCAUCUGUCCCUGUUUCUCCUAGACCUCCAGGAAGUAGCCAUACUAGUAGAAGUUCUGAGAAUCAUGAGUCUACUAGGGAGGGUAGUAACCAAGAUGAACCACAAAGACAUCUGGAGGAAUACAAGUGGACUUUUUUUUUCUUCGCAGAUGAAUGGCUUCAUUUUCUUUGGACUUUGAGUGUGUUUAUCUUUCAAGAUGGGCUUUGGGAACACCAGGAGUGCUUCUUUCUAGUGUUUUUCUUUCAUUCUCAUUUAAUGAUAGGGAAUCACUUUUUCUUGGCCUGCUUCAAACCAAAAAAGAUGGAAAAGGUUCAAGAAAAUCAAGAGCUUUCUACCUUUCCUGUCAGAGAUUUCACUUCCCUCCAACCUCUUGAUGCAGCAACAUUCAUUCAUUCAUUCAAUCUUCAGGCAAUUGUCAAGCCCCAGUUAGGUCUCAGAUACUGCACUAGGUAUACAGUCUAACCAGGGGAGGCAAUAUUUACAUAUAUAGGGUAUAAACAGAAGAGAUCAAAGAUUGUAGAAGUGGCUGGGAUAAGGCACCACAUUUAAGUAGAGCUUUGGAGA